AUGAACGCUGGCGGCGUGCCUAAUACCUGCAAGUCGAGCGAACAGAUGAGGAGCUUGCUCCUCUGACGUUAGCGGCGGACGGGUGAGUAACACGUGGAUAACCUACCUAUAAGACUGGGAUAACUUCGGGAAACCGGAGCUAAUACCGGAUAAUAUAUUGAACCGCAUGGUUCAAUAGUGAAAGACGGUUUUGCUGUCACUUAUAGAUGGAUCCGCGCCGCAUUAGCUAGUUGGUAAGGUAACGGCUUACCAAGGCGACGAUGCGUAGCCGACCUGAGAGGGUGAUCGGCCACACUGGAACUGAGACACGGUCCAGACUCCUACGGGAGGCAGCAGUAGGGAAUCUUCCGCAAUGGGCGAAAGCUUGACGGAGCAACGCCGCGUGAGUGAUGAAGGUCUUCGGAUCGUAAAACUCUGUUAUUAGGGAAGAACAAAUGUGUAAGUAACUAUGCACGUCUUGACGGUACCUAAUCAGAAAGCCACGGCUAACUACGUG
rnacentral:rRNA from 1 species